AGAGUUUGAUCCUGGCUCAGGACGAACGCUGGCGGCGUGCCUAAUACAUGCAAGUCGAGCGAUGAUUGAAGAUAGCUUGCUAUUUUCAUGAAGAGCGGCGAACGGGUGAGUAACGCGUGGGAAAUCUGCCGAGUAGCGGGGGACAACGUUUGGAAACGAACGCUAAUACCGCAUAACAAUGAGAAUCGCAUGAUUCUUAUUUGAAAGAAGCAAUUGCUUCACUACUUGAUGAUCCCGCGUUGUAUUAGCUAGUUGGUAGUGUAAAGGACUACCAAGGCGAUGAUACAUAGCCGACCUGAGAGGGUGAUCGGCCACACUGGGACUGAGACACGGUCCAGACUCCUACGGGAGGCAGCAGUAGGGAAUUUUCGGCAAUGGGGGGAACCCUGACCGAGCAACGCCGCGUGAGUGAAGAAGGUUUUCGGAUCGUAAAACUCUGUUGUUAGAGAAGAACAAGGAUGAGAAGGAAAUGGACUGCAGGUGACGGUACUUUAUGAGAAAGCCACGGCUAACUACGUGCCAGCAGCCGCGGUAAUACGUAGGUGGCAAGCGUUAUCCGGAUUUAUUGGGCGUAAAGCGAGCGCAGGCGGUUAGAUAAGUCUGAAGUUAAAGGCUGUGGCUCAACCAUAGUACGCAUUGGAAACUGGGAAACUUGAGUGCAGAAAAGGACAGUGGAACUCCAUGUGUAGCGGUGAAAUGCGUAGAUAUAUGGAGGAACACCAGUGGCGAAGGCGACGAUCUGGCCUGUAACUGACGCUCAGUCCCGAAAGCGUGGGGAGCAAAUAGGAUUAGAUACCCUGGUAGUCCACGCCGUAAACGAUGUCGAUUUGGAGGUUGUGCCCUUGAGGCGUGGCUUCCGGAGCUAACGCGUUAAAUCGACCGCCUGGGGAGUACGGCCGCAAGGCUAAAACUCAAAGGAAUUGACGGGGGCCCGCACAAGCGGUGGAGCAUGUGGUUUAAUUCGAUGCAACGCGAAGAACCUUACCUGGUCUUGACAUCCACAGAACUUAGCAGAGAUGCUUUGGUGCCUUCGGGAACUGUGAGACAGGUGCUGCAUGGCUGUCGUCAGCUCGUGCCGGGAAAUGUUGGGUUAAGUCCCGCAACGAGCGCAACCCUUAUCCUUUGUUGCCAGCGGUUAGGCCGGGAACUCAAAGGAGACUGCCAGUGAUAAACUGGAGGAAGGUGGGGAUGACGUCAAGUCAUCAUGGCCCUUACGACCAGGGCUACACACGUGCUACAAUGGCAUAUACAAAGAGAAGCGACCUCGCGAGAGCAAGCGGACCUCAUAAAGUAUGUCGUAGUCCGGAUUGGAGUCUGCAACUCGACUCCAUGAAGUCGGAAUCGCUAGUAAUCGUAGAUCAGAAUGCUACGGUGAAUACGUUCCCGGGCCUUGCACACACCGCCCGUCA
rnacentral:rRNA from 1 species